CACGUGAGGGCGCAAGCGUUGUCCGGAAUUAUUGGGCGUAAAGAGCUCGUAGGCGGUCUGUUGCGUCCGCUGUGAAAACCCGGGGCUUAACCCCCUGGCUUGCAGUGGAUACGGACAGACUAGAGGUAGGUAGGGGAGAAUGGAAUUCCCGGUGUAGCGGUGAAAUGCGCAGAUAUCGGGAGGAACACCGGUGGCGAAGGCGGUUCUCUGGGCCUUACCUGACGCUGAGGAGCGAAAGCGUGGGGAGCGAAACAGG
rnacentral:rRNA from 1 species